GACGAACCGUGCGAACGUUGUUCGGAAUCACUGGGCUUAAAGGGCGCGUAGGCGGUCGGUCAAGUCCGGGGUGAAAUCCUGCAGCUUAACUGUAGAAGUGCCUUGGAUACUGGCUGGCUCGAGGGAGGUAGGGGUCUUUGGAACUUCUGGUGGAGCGGUGAAAUGCGUUGAUAUCAGAAGGAACGCCGGUGGCGAAAGCGAAAGACUGGACCUCUUCUGACGCUGAGGCGCGAAAGCCAGGGGAGAAAACAGG
rnacentral:rRNA from 1 species